rnacentral:ncRNA from 1 species
AUACUCGCGCCGCGAUCCGGUCCCGGAUAUCCGGGAUAAAAGGGAACAAGGUGACGCCCGCUUUUCAUAAGGGCCAUUCCUUGGCUGCCCCCGCAACUGUAAGCGGCGAGAUCGGUUCCAUUCACGUCACUGGGGCAUCUGCUCUGGGAAGACCGGAACCGGUUUAAGACCCGCAAGCCAGGAGACCUGCCGCAUCGCGCGUCAUCUG